rnacentral:tRNA from 1 species
CCCAUAGCUCAGUUGGUUAGAGCAUCCGACUCAUAAUCGGCAGGUCCCAGGUUCGAGUCCUGGUGGGC